GUCUAUGGCCAUGCACCUCAAUCUGAUCUCAUCUGAUUUCGGAAGCUAAGCAGGGUAGGGACUGGUUAGCACUUAGACAGGAGACUACCUAGGAAGACUAGGUGCUGUAGGUG
rnacentral:rRNA from 1 species